rnacentral:lncRNA from 1 species
GAACCUGAGUUGCUGGUAUGUGUAAAGGGCUUGAGGCCAGCCCUUCAGACACAGAGGCCGCCCUGUGUCUGAGCUGCUCCUAAGGUGCUCCGUCCAGCUCCUCCUGAGCCAAGGUGUUUGGGUGCAGCCUCCAAGCAGAGAGGUUCUUCUCAAACUGACCGGGCGGUGACCCAAAGCAGCCCCGGGGACAGUGCCCCGGCCCCACCAGCCAUUUUUCCACUCUGGCCUUUUUCUUCGUGUGGACGCAGCCCAUUUUCUGGAUAAGAACCUGCUGCGUAAGACCAUUCUUGCUCACGCGCCCCUCAGCAUGUGCAAACCAGCAACCGCAGAUAGAUCCCAGAUGGCGUUUUCCUGCUCUCGCAAACCUUGAAGUGGGCCCUGCCCGCGGGCACACCUGCCAAGGAAAAUGCUGUCCUCGAAAUGUUCCUGGCACCGUGUUCAAGAGGUGCCGACCAAGGGCUGGAAUUGCUGACCUCCCUGAAAGAGCAGCCCGCAGCCCUGGCCUCCGGGGUGAGCUCCCCUCGUGGGAGGGCCCAGCGGAGGUAAGAGGACUCGCUCCACGUCACAGAGCGCUGGCCCAGCCCAUCGCUCGCAGCAGGGGACGUGGUGGUUUCUAGGAAGGCCCUUCCCAGAAGGGAGAUGACUCAGGCUGGUCCCAGCUCCUCCUGAAGACCGGACAGACAAGGGGAGGAGCUAGGAGGUGUUCCGGGGUCACCUGGGCCAGGCCCUGCCUCCAGGGGCCAGAGGUGCAUUUUAUCCCAUCGGCCAGCAGAGAGCACGGGGCAGGUUGAACCGAAUCCCUUCCCUCUGUGGAACCAUCAGUUUCCAAACGACAGACUACUUCUGCCCACACCUGGAAGGGCCAGGGACACAAGACACGUCGGCUUCUCCGCUAAGACUUUCCAUCCGAUGAAGAGCGGGUCAGGAGAGCAGAGCUGGGAAGUCAAAGGGACCCUUUGCUCCCUCUGAGUACCUUCUACCUUCGGAUGUUCUUUGAACAGUCUCUUAAAAGGUGAUUGGUUGCCAUGAUAGUUAUAAAGACCAAGGUGGUGGGAGGAGUUCCCGUCGUGGCACAGUGGAAAUGAACCUGACUAGGAACCAUGAGGUGGUGGGUUCGAUCCCUAGCCUCGCUCAGUGGGUUAAGGAUCCAGCGUUGCCAUGAGCUGUGGUGUAGAUCGCAGACACGGCUCGGAUCUGGCGUUGCUGUGGCUGUGGUGUAGGCCGGCAGCUACAGCUCCGAUUGGAACCCUACCUGGGAACCUCCAUGUGCCAUGGGUGCAGGCCUAAAAAGCAAUAAAUAAAUAAAUAAAUAAAUGGGGGGAAAAAAAAAAAAGGACCAACAUGGUGGGAGAGCAUAGGUUAGGGUACAUCAGAGGAAGCAAUGGGAACCAUGCUUUGCUUUUUUUGCUUUUGUUUUUGUUUUUCUUUAGGGCCACAAGGGUGGCAUAUGGAAGUUCCCAGGCUAGAGGUCAGAUUGGAGCGGCACCUGCCGGCCUUCACCACAGCUCACAGCAACGCCCAAUCAUCUUUAACGCACUGAUCGGGGCCAGGGAUCGAACUCGCAUCCUCCUGGAUACUAGUUGUGUUUUUCACCCUGUGCCACAACAGGAUCUCCAGGACCCGCUGCUUUGAAACAUCCCUGAUCAGCCCCUGAGGCCCGUGGUGAACGUGGUUAGAUAGGCGGCACCUGUCUUUUAGGCCCACUUCCCCCGCCAGCCUCUCCACAGACUUUGUCAUGCAGGGUCAUUUGCGUAGGGACUUCACUGUCACAACCUCAAGUUUAAACUCUGUUUAUUUGGCAGGGGACCACAGCACAUUUUUUUUUUUUAAUGUAAAGUAAGACAAUAACAUGAUAACAAGUAUGUUUUUGAAAAAUUUAAAUAUAUAGUAAAUAUAUCUUUAUAUAUAUGGCAUAUAUUCAUAUAUGGCAGAUGCCAAAGAAAAAGCAGCUAGAGUCUGAGAAAUUAAGAAGCUAUAAUUGUAUCUCAGUUGAGAGAUGGUGAGGUUCUCAACUUGGUGGAUGAGGUGGGUUUAGACAGAAGAACAGAUAGUGGUGAUUGGUUGAGGGCUGGCUGAUUGGAUGUCAGCGGUGAGCAAGAAGGAGGGAGGCAGUGGUGACUUUUGGUCCGGGAACCUUGAGACUGGUGGCCCUUGGGCAGAAUUAGGGAAGGUGAGAUUAGCAGCUGCUCUAGGGGAAGACGAUUCAUGUCAUGGUUGCCUUUUGACAUUUGCCGUGUGUGUCUUCCUUACCUUAGACCUCAGUCCUAACUGCUCAGAUUGUGCUCCAAGUGGCUCCACAUCACAGAGAGCUUGGAGGGGCCCAUUCCAGGCAUGUUUCCCCAGGUUUUAUCUUCACUGGCUCCCAGACCUUUCAAAGAUCCUGAAAACAGCCCAAGCUCUUCCUGGUCCCCACGAGAUGGAUAAGGUCUUACUCUCCGGCGCCUCUUCCUCAGGGGGGCUGGCCUGCCUGGUGAUGAAGUGGUGAACCCGGGGGAGGGGAUGGUGAUGCUGGCAGGCCAUGGAAACAGCCCGUUAAAACCCACGCCAGACUGGAUUGCUGUUUUAAUUGUGGUAAAAUGCACAUAACAUUUACCAUCGAAGCCGUGGUUAAGGGCACAGUGAUAUUAACCGCAUUCACUGUGUUGAGCAUCCAUCCCUACCCUCCAUCCCCGUCAUUCUUUGCAUCUUGUGACCCUGAAGCUCCAUCCCUGUUAAAUAGUAACUCUCCAUUCUCCACUCCCUCCAACCCCGGGCAACCACCCUUCUUCUUCCUGCCUGUGGUGUUGACCACCCUAAGGUCCUCGUCUAAGUGGAAUCAUACAGUCUUUUUGUGAUUGGCCUAUUCACCUCAUGUCUGCAGGGUUCACCCAUGUUGUCGCACGUGUCGGAAUUCCCUUCCUUUUUAAGGCUAAAGAAUAUCCUGUUAUUUGCAUACACUGCCUUUUGCUUCUUCCUUCAUUGAUGGACACUUGGGUUGCUUCGUUGUUUUAGCUGUUAGCAAUAAUGCCACUCUGAACGUGGGUGCCCCAGUGUUGAAUUUUAACUUGAUUUCGGUGCGAGGCUUUGACAACUUGGGAACCACUCACAUUCCUUCCUGGGCAAGGUCCAUAGGCUGCAUGGGUUUUGGAACCCGUCUUGGUUGUACUUUGUAUUCUUGGUUUGGAAACCAGCUCACCCUAGGCUAGGAGUGAUUUCUGACAACAACUCAGCAAUUACAGUUUCCAGCACAUGGCUCCAGGACAUCAACCAUGAGUUAAGGAAGAAAAAGUAAGUGCUACUGUUUGAGGUAUGUCUAGAGUAUGGUUUUAAUCCAUCACUGUCAGGCUCAUAUAAAAUUCCAGGCUUCUGUAACUCUUGAACUUGAAGUAUUACAGGGUGUCACAUAUUAACUGGAAGCCAAGAGAAGCAAGGAGGUUUGUUCAUGGUUAAAUCGUGUAAAGAUGCUUUUUAAAGCAUAUUAAUCCAUUAGUAAUCCAUUUGGACUCUGGAAUAUGGUCAUAUAUUAUUUGGUACAAUAUGUACUGAAUCUGGGCCUGGAAAAUUAAGUGGAAAUAUAGUUUUAAACUACAGGGGUUUUAAAGCAGUCCCUCCAUAAUCCCUUCCCAUCAGUCACAUCCCCAUUCCUAGAUUUUAAAAAACUCUGGUGUAUCCAGUUUCCAUUAAGAGGAGCAUACAGAUGGAGUAUUUUUUUUUUUUUUUUUUGGCAGGGUGCGGGGGACUUUUAAUUUUAAAAGCAUUUCAAAUAUACCAAAACGUUACCAGAAUAGAAGGAGCAACUUUUUACCCUGAUUUACACGUACAUCUGUGUUUUUAAUUAUGUUAAUUAGAUACAGAUGUAGGGACUACGCAUUAACAAAAUGGUCCCCCCUUCUUUUUGGGGGGUGUGUGUGUAUUUUCUCUGGCCACGUGAAUUCCAGGGAGGUGCUAAACAUACGUUUCUUGAGUUUUUUCAGGCCCCGAGCUCUGAGUUAGGCGUUGUCGUAUAGAACUGUCCUUCUGUGUCUUAAUCCUCGAAGUCCUCUGUCACCCUCAUUGUCCUCCGAGAGGCUGGUGACCUUCUCAAGGCCGGGCAGCCGGCAUCAGAGCGUGGAUUCCCACUCCGAUCCUGUGAUGUCAACUCCUGAGGCCCCGAGAUGUCAUCACUGCGUGUCAGGCCCUUCCUGGACCCCACGAAAGGCAGAGGGCUGCCUUUGUGAGAGGAGGGCAGAUUUCCGCAUGUCUGGAAGUGAGCUGAAGACACUCACAGUGGGGAAAGGGGGGGAACACAGCGGGGCGUGCCACCCUCUGCCUCUUCACACUAGUAUAUGGACAGUCCUCAGUGCUCGUCCUCCAGGUUAGAAUCAGGGUCUGUCACCAGGAUGUUCCCAGGGAUGGUGGUGUUUUCAAACGUGAACCAUCAGCUGAGGCCAUGGACACCGAGAAUUGAGGACCCGUGUGGGAGGAAGGAGGACCCUCAGAGGCCAGGCCUCUGCGUCAUUCACUUUCCUAUCCCCAGCAUCUGUCUUUUAAUUUUUUUUUUUUUAAUUAUAGUUGAUUUACAAUGUUGUGUCACUUUCUGCUGUGCAGGGAAGUGACCCCGUCAUAUAUACAUGUAUGUGUACACAGUCUCUUUUUUUGUAUUGGCUUCCACCACCGUCUAUCCGAAGAGACUGGCUGUGGUUCCCUGUGCUAUGGAGCAGGACCUCUUUGCUUAUCCAUUCUAAAUGUAACAGUUUGUAUCUACUAACCCCGAACGCCCUGUGUAUCCCAUUCCUUCCCCCUCGGCCACCACAAGUCUGUUGUUCUCCAUGUCUUUCAGUCUGUUUCUGUUCUGUAGAUAGGUGCAUCUGUGCCCUAUUUUAGAUUCCACGUGUAAGUGAUAUAAUACGGUACGUGUCUUGUUCCUUCUGACUUACUUCACUUAGUAUGAGAAUCUCUAGUUGCAUGCAGAUCAACUAGAGAAUCUCCAUGUUGCUGCAGAUGGCGUUAUUUUGUUCUUUUUUAUGGCCGAGUAGUAUUCCAUUGUGUAUAUGUACCACAUUUUAAUCCAUUCAUCCGUCGAUGGAUAUUUAGGUUACUUCCAUGUCUUGGCUCUUGUGAAUAGUGCUAUAAUAAACAUAGGGGUGCAUGUACCUUUUUGAAUGAAAGUUUUGUCCAGAUCUAUGCCCAGGAGUGGGAUUGCUGGAUCAUAUUGUAGUUCUACAUUUAGCUUUCUGAGGAACUUCCAUACUGUUUUCCAGAGGGAUUGUACCAACUUACCUUCCUACCAGUAGUGUAAGAGGGUUCCCUUUCCUCCACACCCUCCCCAGCAUUUGUUAUUGUGGACCUAUUAAUGAUGGCCUUUCUGAGUGGUAUGAGGUGGUACCUCAUUGUACCACCUGUCUUGAUGUGCCUGAUCUACUGGUCAUUCAGCUGUUGGGGCCACGAGUCUCCUCAGUCUUUGAGACCAUCAGCAGCAGGAUUCUGUAAAUACAGACAAAUAUUACAAGUCAUGUCUGGGCAUUUGGGUACAUUCAUUCAUUCCAGAGGUUUGUAUUGAACACCUCCUGUGUACUAGUUUGGGGGCUACAGAACUCAAGGCAAACAAAGGCUCCUUGUUUGUACAGACUCAGCCAGUGAAUGAGUGAGCAAGAUACAAGUCAGAGAGGAAUAAUCAGUGGCCAGUUACACUGGGUAAAGCCAUGCCGGGGGACUUGGAAUGAGAGUUAGGCUGAUUUCACUGGGGGCGGGGGGAAGGGUCCAGAAUGCCCUAAAUGAAUCUGAGGCUUGAGUCACCAGAGGCAGCCAAAGGGGGUUCUGGAAAGCCAGGACUUCAGGCAGGGGGGACAGGAGAUGCCAGUUUGGCACAGUCGAAAUGAGAAAGAUGGAGAUGAAACUUAAUGCUUAAUGGUGUGGAUUCAGAUGGAAAUUUGAUGAGGUUGGACAGGUGGGCAUUGCAGCCGAGGUAAAAAAUUUGGAAUUUCUAGGUAUCCUGGACGGCCGCUGAAGGGCCUGGGGCAGGACAAAGACCCCUUUUCAUGUGCUGUCCACCUGCGUGGCUGCCUAGGCAUCCCCUGCCCUGGCACUCAGAACCAAGCCAGUUGUGGGUUGUAGUCAACAAAGAGCCCCUGAGCAUCUUUUGUCUUCAGAUGUCAGUUGCGUGCUGGAAUUUCAAGAUGAAACAGAGGCAGGAUCUGGCCUUGAAAGAGUCCUACUUGCAGAGUGGAUUUGCUGUCCUCUGAACUGUGUUUCCUUUAGACAGUGAAGCCUGAUCCUACAAUUGCUGGAAAAACUUUUUUAGAAUUUCCCUUUUUGUGAAUUACGUUUGAUUUGUAAUACUUUAGGUUCUUUGUUGGGUAUCACCUCACUGCUUUAUCGUAGGAGAGGGGACUUAAUUUCUUUGGAAGUAGCUGAAAGUUGUUUCAAGUCUAGUCCAAUGGAUAAAGUAAGGGAUUUUUUUUUUUUUUAAAUAAAAACAAGCCAUAAACAGGGCUAAUUUUUGUUAGUUGGCUUCUAAAAUGGCCUGGGAAGCCAUUAUGUCUGGCAAAUGAGCAGAUAUCAAAUUACUACGAAGUUUCUAAAACAGAAAAGGAUUUAGAUUUUUGGAACCUCCAAGUAUGCUUGGUGAAAAUCCCUAUUUGGGGGGUAACUGUCUCAGUGGCUGUCUUCAGGUCUCCAAAUUCCAUUUUUCUUUUUCUCCGCCCCCACUUCCUAUUCCCUGAUGGUCUUUUCAGCAUUACAGCGUGGGUGCUGAUUUUGAUAUUUUGUUCAUGCUUUUGCUGAAGCCC